GACGAUCGAUACCACAACAACAGGGUAAACGAAAGACAACUCACAGGGGAUAAAUUGCAAGCAUCCGACAAUUAUCCAAGAAACAAAGAAUAUUCGAUUCCAUAAAGGAAUAACGAACCUUACUCGACUAGGGAAACGCAACAGGCUUCGACUGAAGAGUGCAUGAGAUAUAUUAUCCAUUACCGUCAGAACGUGGAUAACAUACUCGCAUGGAAGAUUAUCCACAACCGGUUACUGGGUUAAUAAAG
rnacentral:lncRNA from 1 species